CGUUAUAUUCUAAUUGAAUAUCAGAAUCGAAUUUUGAAGCUGUUUG
rnacentral:sRNA from 1 species